rnacentral:rRNA from 1 species
GUCUAUGGCCAUGCCACCUUGAAUGUGCCCGAUCCUGCCUUAUCUUGGAAGCUAAGCAAGGUUGGUCCUGGUUAGUAUGUGGAUGGGAGACCACCUAGGAAUACCAGGUGAUGCAGGCA